AAAAAUGUGACUUUCUGACCCCUAGUUCUGGAAAUGCUACCUAGUGUUCUGCCUUGGUCUUCUGCCACUGUGAAUUGUUAGCCACGAGAAGGUGCUGGAUGUCCCUGCAUAGCCUGAACGUGCUCCCCAGGAGACUAGAGCCCUUGCCUACCAUUGCAGUGAAUUCCUCAAGGGACUGGGAAGGAAGGUGAUGUCGAUGAGCUACAGGAGAAGCUGGCAGCUUUCCCCACAGAGUUGGACACACACAGGCUCAGGACUCAGAAGUGAAGAAAGAUUCCGUGGGGUUGGAAGAGCUGCAGGCCUGGAUGAAGUCCCCAGAAACAAGUGACCGUGGAAACAUCCUGCUGAGAUGGAGAAACUGUGACUCGCUCUGUCUGCAUCCCUGAGCUUUCACCUGGAAAAGGCACUGACCUUGUGUAGUUCUUCUUAAUGCCUCCUGCAUCAUUUCCAAGGGUUAUACCUGUGCUCAGCAGGAUGAGUAUGGAGAAACAGAUCUCAGUAUUGGUAUUGCUGGACCCUUCCGUACACAUUGGAAUCCUGAGAUACUGCAAAAGCAUUCAACAACCCAUGUGCUGCCAGAAAAUGCAGGAACUCUUGCUGUAAUGCUGGAGGUGGUCGGGCACAACUCACAGCCCUGCUUGGGACACAGCAGCUGGGGGUCCAUGGAGAUGUCUACCUGAGGCCAAUUGGAGCGAUGGAUGCUGCUUCAGGGCACUGAUGGCAUGCUGUCACUCGCGGAACUUGAGCUGCACUGGUAUGCAGGCCCAGCCACUGUGCCAAUUGGAUGGG
rnacentral:lncRNA from 1 species